UGGGUUUGACAUACACGGAAAUCCUGCAGAGAUGUGGGGUCCUUUAAAGGGUCGUGUACAGGUGGUGCAUGGCUGUCGUCAGCUCGUGUCGUGAGAUGUUGGGUUAAGUCCCGCAACGAGCGCAACCCUUGUCCUAUGUUGCCAGCGCGUUAUGGUGGGGACUCAUAGGAGACUGCCGGGGUCAACUCGGAGGAAGGUGGGGAUGACGUACAGGAACACCAAC
rnacentral:misc_RNA from 1 species